CUUUAAACGAGGAAGUAUACUCAAUCUUCAACUAUUUGAUUUAUGCUCUGGAAAGUUAGAUUUAUAAUCAAAAUGUGGUCACAUCUUCAAGUGUUAAUUUGUUUAAUACGGAUAAAGGUUUCUUUAUCUAAUGUUGGAACAUAUCUUAGCAUUUCAAAUCCCGUUGAAUGUGGCCAAGAUGCUACACUCAUUUGUACAACAGGCAGCAGAGCUUCCUUUUGGUCAUUCUACCGAAAUGAAACACCCAUAGUAUCAGAUCUUAGCAAAACUCCGAAGUACACAGCUGAGGUUCAGCCUUUUCAACAAAUCGCUCUGACGAUACACAACGCUGGACCAGAAGAUGUCGGACGUUAUCGAUGUACUCCGGAAUAUGAAAGUGUCAGUAACGAAUAUCCACUAGAACUAUACUGUCAAAACGAAACCGCUGAUAUCCAAAUAAAGCCCGAGAAAACAGUGGAAAUUCGUUUGGAUCAACUAUAUCCAAGCAAUGCCGAAAUAUCAAUCAAAAUUUUCCGAGAGGGGGUACCAAUGGACAUGUGCAUGACGACAAUGUGCAGAGAUAGCAAGGUGUACAGCAAAUAUUUUGAAUGCACAUACACUACAACAAAGAUUUUUGGUAAAGGAAACUAUACCUAUGUGCUACAGAAUCUUAAUUACAAACAAGCUCUGCCCAUAACAGGAACCUUUGAACUACAUCACUCCAAGAAUGUGACUUUGACCGCUGAUCAACAGACAAUUGGAUCCGGUCAGACAACUGAGCUGGUAUGUCGUUACAACGGCAGUGCUCCUAUUCAGUUCAUUAUAUGGCAGAGAAAUAGCAAUACUGUGGUUGUUCAGCACCAGAGCUGUAUCAAUAUUUACAAUAAGAGCAAUGCGCUCAUGGAUAUUUCAUGUCCAAACAGCAAUGAACAAGUGCUUAAGCUUCGCCAUGUUGACCAGGAUGUUAGUGCUAUCGUCUGGCAGUGUGAAGCAGAACUAGAAAGUGGCGAAGAGCUUUACAGUAACAGUAUAGUGUUACACGUAAAAGGACCACCUGGUAAACCUUACGAUGUCCAGAUAAGAAGUAUUAAUGAGACAACAGUAACAAUCUUUUGGUGCUUAAGCAAUGAGAAUGACAGGAACGUCACAACUGUUACUCAGUUACGAUCCGACACAGACUGGAUAAACAAGUCGGAAACCAGAUGGAUUAAGGAUACACGUAGAAACAGUGAAAUAAUUCAAAAUCUAAGACCAGCAACGUUCUAUUUUCUUCGUCUAUUUAGUUAUAACGGCUAUGGGCGCAGUAAUUCGACGGAAACUUUUACGUUUAUCACACAAGAUACACAAACUCUUAUUGCCCCGCUACAAAGACAGGAUGUCAUAAUUGGAAGUGCUUUAGGAAGUUUUACUGGCGGUGUUUUAUUGGUUUUAAUUACGAUGGGUUUGUGUAGAGCAAGAACGAAUGACAAAUGUAAAUGCAUGCCAUCAAGCAGAGGAGAAGAUGACACUCGACAGAUACGUCAAAACAGAAGUACGGAGGAAGAUGCCAGUUACAUUAAUACAUCGUUGGAAGGAAACGUCAUGGGUAAAUCUACAUUAUCAACAAGAAAUAUAAAAUGUGAAAGAGUAGUUUGAUGCCUUAUUAAUUGCAACAUAAAUAUCAUAACAUAAAUAAAUGUUAACUAAGCGUAAUAUGCAUUUAUGUUUUAUUUAACUUUCCUUCUUAUCUUCAUUUCAGAGUUGCAAAAAAGUGCAAUGGUAUCCGACCAGUAUUCCUCCCUGGAUGUAGCGCGCGACCCGAAACACGAGUAUGAUGCAAUUGACCAAUGUAUCCAUUAACUCGGUAUAGUAUACAGUGUAUAAAACAAUGUGGAUAAGAUGAAUAUACAAAAUGGAAACAUUUUCCUGUCAUUAUUAAGAAUUGUUGAAACAAAACACAGGAAUCAUAUAUUGCAAUAAUAAUGAUUUAUUUGCUACUGGUCUUGUCCCUGUCAUUUCCAUGUUUUCAAUUUUAUGUUUUAUUGUAGUUGCCUUUGAUUUUUUUCUCUUGUUCCAUUCGGAAACUCUACUAUUUCUAAACUCAUCCAUUGAUAUGAACGUUCAUGUGCUUAAAUGUAUACUUUUUUACGGCGUCAGAAAUGAUUUUUGACGCCACAUGUAUGUCUUGAUGGAAGUGUAUGCAAGAUGAUUUAUGUCGUUAGGUAUUCGCUCUUUUAUCUCUAUUGACUUUGCUCAUGCCAAUUUUGCUUUUUGUGAAGAUUGCUUAGAAAAUAUGCCACAUCAUACAACAUAAACGUGUGUUUACCUGUUGUUUUGAACUCGUGUUUCUAACAUGAUGAAAUAAAAUAAUAUCAUUAAAUUAUGUUAUAAAUAGCUCGGAGUUACAACUGUGUAACACGAGAAAAAGUUGAAUGACGAGUUUGUGUCGAGCAUUUUUUAUAAAAGGGUUAAAUUCAUAAGGUUUUUAUUAUAACUGUAAUAUAAAUAGCUGUUAAGUUCAUUUCAUCAUUCUUUACAUAGUCAUAAAAAUGAUUAAGAUUUAGAACAGUUUUCUUCCAAAUAAUGCACAAGUGAUCAACCCGUCAGUUUGUACAAUGACAACAAUCCCAUAGGACUUUUAUAUCAGUAAUAAUUGUGUUCACUUAUCGUAUGCAUUGUUUUAUUUAUUAUUAAAUACUGAUUUGCUAAAGGCU